rnacentral:rRNA from 1 species
GAUGAACGCUAGCGGCAGGCUUAAUACAUGCAAGUCGUGGGGCAGCAGGUUUGUAGCAAUACAGAUGCUGGCGACCGGCAAACGGGUGCGGAACACGUACAGAACCUUCCUUUGAGCGGGGAAUAGCCCAGAGAAAUUUGGAUUAAUACCCCAUAGUAUAAUGAAGUGGCAUCACUUUAUUAUUAAAGAUUUAUCACUCGAAGAUGGCUGUGCGGCUGAUUAGGUAGUUGGCGGGUAAAGGCCCACCAAGCCUGCGAUCAGUAACUGGUGUGAGAGCACGACCAGUCACACGGGCACUGAGACACGGGCCCGACUCCUACGGGAGCAGCAGUAAGGAAUAUUGGCAAUGGAGGCAACUCUGAACCAGCCAUGCCGCGUGGAGGAUGAAGGUCCUCUGGAUUGUAAACUUCUUUAUAUGGGACGAAAAAAGGCUUUUCUAAGUCGUCUGACGGUACCAUAAUGAAUAAGCACCGGCUAACUCCGUGCCAGCAGCCGACGG